AAGCCCAAGGUGGCUGCUCACAGGAUGCUGGGCCUUGUGGUGACUGUCCUUGAUGACGGUGGCUGUCAAGACGUCUUGCAAACAACGGCCUCUAACAUCUCUGCUACUGUAUCAGAGAAACCUCGCAACUAGGCCCACUUGUGAAUGGCUGCAGGAGGAGGAAAUUCACGACCUGUCCAGAGGCUGAUGGGAAC